UACGUAGGGUGCGAGCGUUGUCCGGAAUUAUUGGGCGUAAAGAGCUUGUAGGCGGUUUGUCGCGUCUGCUGUGAAAAUCCGGGGCUCAACCCCGGACUUGCAGUGGGUACGGGCAGACUAGAGUGUGGUAGGGGAGACUGGAAUUCCUGGUGUAGCGGUGAAAUGCGCAGAUAUCAGGAGGAACACCUAUUGCGAAGGCAGCUCGCUGGGACGUAACUGACGCUGAGACGCGAAAGCGUGGGGAGCAAACAGG
rnacentral:rRNA from 1 species